UAAAAUGUUUCUGUGUCUAUAGCUAUACUUUAGGUUAAGGUGUGAUAGUCAGUAUAGAGAAGCCAUGUGCCUUUAGAUAACUUCCCCAAUUGCCUUGCUUUAGGACCUUCUGUUUAGACCCACUGAUCAUAUAGAUGUCUGAAAGUCAAAGGCAAUAAUAAAACAUAUUAUACAAGAGGAGAAGAUAUAGAGGAACCGUUAAACUAUAUAUCAAAAAUAUAUCAAUAACUCUUUCUUUCCAUGCUUUGCUAGAAACAGUGCAAAGUGAAUUAAACAGACACAAUUCCUUUCCUCUUGGAAGACCUAGAACAUAUUCCAAUGACAGCAGAGAUUUUUUAUUCAUAUGAAGAGGGCUAUAGCAAAUGAAUAAAUGAAGCAAAAAAAAAAAAGAGGAAGGAAUGCCUGCAUUUAUUGGUAAAAGAAGUAUCAGAUGCAUGUCACAUCAGGGGAAAAUCAUUUUGCCUUUUUCUGUUGAUCAGAGAGCUCAUGAAGAGAUGAGAUUGUCAAACUGAAUAAUCUAAAGAGAUUCCUUGGUGACUUAACAUGAAGCGAAUGUCUAGAUAUGAGAGAGUAUUUAAGGAGCUUUCUCUGGGGCUGACCUGGUGAACCACUGCCAUCUUCAAGUGCCGAUUUGGGGCCGUUGCAGGUACCUACUCCUUGGGAGACACCGAUGGGACAAGGCAGGCGUGUGUCGAGUGAAGCAAUUCAUGAAUACUCAGCCAUGAAAUGGAAAAUCCAAACGAAAUAAGGACCACGAUCCUGGACACCAUAUGAAAAAGAUGUGAUUGAGGACGACUCACCCCGCCAUAUUUUUUGCAAGACUCCUGAAGGAAAGACCUGCGUUUCUCUUGGGCCACAUCCGUUUCCUUCCAUUUGUUGUCUUUGAUUAAACUUUUAUUUAAAGGGUGUAUGUCCAAUGGCCACUUCAUUUCACUGAACUUCUUGAAAACAGUCCUAGUUCCUUGAUGUUUUGCAAUCAGCUUAAUUGUUGGUGGCCCUGUGGUCUUCCCCAAAACUCGAUCCUCUCCUUGUGAGUGGCUGGUCUUUGUUAAGACCCUCAUUGGCCUCUCAGAGUUGAGCAGAAGAUUUUCCUUUUUUCCCUUGGGAUCCUCAGUGAUGUGGAACUUGAGGUUCUGUUAAAAUAGAGAAGGAGAAAUGUUGAAAGCGCAUUCACAAACCUCUUGCAAUGACUGCAGAAGGGAAUACAUGGAAGACAGGACUUACAAGAUGGAAUCCUCUCCUAGAGAUAAAAUUGUGUAUAAUAUAGUGAUUCAACAGUUCUAUACGUUACUCAGUGUUCAACAUGCUAAGAAAAAUUAAGAUAUGAGCACUGAGGAUGUAGUGAAAUGUCAAUUACGUCAGCGGGGAAGUUUCACCCAAGAACAGGGCUGCUCACUCGUUUGGCAAGACCAUCUGAAGCUGAAAACAGACAUAACCUCAAUGUAUACUGGAAAACAUGGAGAGGUUUGGCUCGUUAUUGGCAAAGAGAAAAAAUAAAUAACAUCAGCCUUAAAGAGAAGCAGAGUCCAAGAGAAUGACUGAGUCAAGGUAAUGGUGGAGUAGAGGGUGUCAGCAUGGUGAGAACUCAGUCCCAGGAAGCCGUGUACACGCAAGGGCCCGUUUCUUCCCCACCCAUUGCCUACCAGUCCAAAGCUACUUGAGUUCUGGGAACGGCCACACUGUGCGAGCAACAGUGACACUGGCAGGAACACAUUCCAUUUGUCUUAUUUGGUUAAGCAUCUGCCAGCCCCAGAUCAGAUUUGCCUGGGUCAGCACCUUCAAGUGACACACAGGCCCCUCUGGCUUACUUGCCUGCAUAUUUGACAACUCAGCUUUCCUCAAGACUGCCUCCCCAAAGCCUGGCCCAACCCUCUCAGUCUAGAGCAGACACCUCACACGUUGGUGCUACCAUGGGUUACCUGGGCCCUGUACUAGGAGCAGAGAGUUGCCAUGGGCACCAGAUCAUGCCAUGGUGAUCUUGAGGCCAUGCCGACACGGAUUUCUUUUUGGGAUUUCAGUCUGAGGAGGAAUGCAAAGGAAGAAUGUAAGACAUAAACUCAUAGCAAAGCAGGAGAACAGAGAGGCGAGGGGCAGUAGAGUGAGUUACCAUAUGAGGGGGUCAGAAUGAGUGGAUCUCUGUCAAAACAGUGUUGAUCAAAAUGCAUAUUUGUAGGUCUUAUCUCUUCGUGCACUAAGAUAAAUUUUAUCAGUUUUAUCUUAAGAAUAUUAUUUCAAUCUAAAUUUUGAAGCCUUUUGGGGUUUCCAAAAUGAGUUGUUUCUCCUGAAGAUGACUGUACUUGAUUCAAGAUGUCACUGAAAUGGAUACUAAGAGGCAUCAAUGGUCAUGGCCAUGGGUUUUUCUUUUGGUCACCCUUUCUUCAUGAGGCCGGUAGGAGCGGCACUGAUCCUGAUCCCUUGGCCUGAGGCUGGGAGUCUUCAGUAUCAAUACAACCUCAUUCCCCAGAGCUGGUACAGAUUGAGCUCCUACAGGACUUGGGAGGAUCACAGAGAGGCGCCUGCCAUCUGCAGCCCAGCCUGGCCUGCCCAUCGGUUGGUCUCCAGCACCUUCUCGAGGACAUCUUCAACAUCCGUCUCUUCUGUGCUGGAGCCAUUACUGGAGCUCAAGCUUUCAGCUUCCCACAACGAGAUGAUGGCAUCUGCCUGCAGAGCGGUCUCUCUGCCUCCACUUUGCAACCCCUGCUCGCCCUGCUGUAACAUGAACCUUCUACAGUUUUCUGAUAAAAAAGCUUUUGAACUGCUGGUGGAAAAUAUUUUUGCCUGCAGAACGGAACACUAGGUUUCAUCAACUCUGAUUCAAGAUCCUGCGAACUCUGAGGUCUGUGCGAUUUUCAACUCUUCUUUCCAGAUCAACACUCGCUCUCUGCCAGGUGCUGUUCUAAACACCGCAUGUUAUUAAUUCAUUUAGCCCUUGCAACAACACUCUGAUGUAGGUAGUAUUUGGUGAUUGUCAUCUUACAGAUGAAGAUGUCAAGGCACAGAGAAGUUAAUUGACUUGUCUGAAGUCAAGGAGCCAGCACAUACACAGCCAGGAUUUUAAUGGAGCUGGUCUAGCUCUACACUCUGGCCUCUGACCAGGGUGGUAUAUGCUACCUUCUAAUAUUUCAAAAUCUAUUCCUGCUUGUGUGUGAUUGAUGCUACUCUUCUAGGCAGUGAUACUCUCCCCCUGGCUCUCCCCUGCCUGUCCAAGUCCUCAAGGUCCAGCUGAGGUCGCCUCCCAUUCCCGUCUCUAACCAGCCUCACCCUCAAUGGCUGCCCCCACGUCUGAAGUCUCAGACAAUCUUGUGAUGUAUCACCGGCUGCUGCACAGUGGCGCACAGGAUUUUGUCCUGUCGCGUUUCUGCAAUGAGACUGCCAACCACAUUAAGACAGAUGCAGUAGCGUGUUCCUCUGGGGCUCUAAGAAAGACUUAGCUCAUGUAGUAAGGUGGUUAAUGUUUUUUUCCCUUAAGUUUAUUUAUUUUGGGGGGGGGAGCAGCAGAAAGGGAGAGUGGGAGUGGGAGAGAGAGAGAGAGAGAGAGAGAGAAUGAAUCUCAAGCAGGUUCCCCAUUGUCAGCACAGAUCCCAACAUGGGGCUCCAUCCCAUGAACCUUGAGAUCAUGACCUGAGCUGAAACCAAGAGUAGGACGCCUAACCGACUGAGCCACCCAGGCACUUUGAAGUAGGUGCCUAAUAUUGAUUAUUGUGGGGGGUCGGUCAUAGGACACUUAGUGGGAUCCUAUAUCCAGAUACUAUUGACUUCGGUAUGUUUAAAUUCAAAACAUGCCACAUAAAAACUUAUGAACGAGGACAGAGAAAUUCACUCAGCAAACACUUACUGGGCAUAUAGCGGACACCAGGCUUUGUUCUAAGUCCCUGGGAAGCAUCAGUGAACAAACGAGACUCAGUGAGAUCGGGUCAGGUGAUGUGGUAAGAAAAGAUCACCAGGUCACAGUGGCUUGAGAUGAAAGCCAUCUUUCAUCUUUCAUCUUCCUGAUCAUGCCAUGUGGUUUUCAAUAGCUGCCAGCGGGAUUUUGCUCAACUCACUCACUUGCGGAUCCAGCCCAAUAGAGUAGCCUCCAUGUUAAAAGGUGUGGGAUGCUGUGUCAGAGGGAGGAGGGGAUGUGGCAGAGAGUGUGCUGGCCAUGAAAGGCUCUGCCCAGGCAUGGCACAUACCCUUUCUGUUCAUCUUCUAUUGGCCAAGGAAGGGCACAGAGCCUUAUCUAUACCAAAUAGUCAGGAAAAUAGGCACCCACAGUAGACUUGGAAGGAGAGACUGUUGUCAGUGGAUGGCUCUCAUGGCUACACACAAAGAUGUCUGCCUUUUGGAGCUUACUCUAGACUCUAGAAGGGGACAAGGACAAUAAGUUAAGUAAACCACAGAAUAUGUUAGAAGAUGAUAAGAGUUAUGGAGAAAGAAUAGGUAGAGUGAAGAAAAAGGGCUGUAGUUGAGAUGAAGGCAGGGGUGCAGGAUAUACUGGGUUGUCCAUCGAAGCAAUGCCAUUCAGUAAGAACUCGAAGGAAGGGAAGGAGUUAGUGGAGGCUACCCAGGAAAGGGGAUUCUGGAUGGAGGGGGCAGCAGGGACCCCACAAUGAGAGCAUCUGUGUGUGUUUGAUGAACAUCAAGGAAGCUAGUGUGGCUGGGCCAGAUGGGGAUGGGUAGGGACCUAGGAGAUGAGGCCAGACCACGUGGGGCCUUGGAAGCCACUGGAAAGAUUCUGGCUUUUAUUCUGAAUGAUGCAGAGAGCCAUGGCAGAGUUUUGACGAGCAAAGUGACAUAUUUUAUUUAACUUCAAGAAGGAUCUUCUUUCAUAAUGAACACUGGAAGGUUCAGUAUUCCAGGAGAGGGCGGAUGGCAGUUCACACAGGCCGAUGGCACUUUUCCUUGCCAUGGGCUCUGAUUACAGAUUGACUUUCAGGUGUGUGCAUGUUUUAAAAUGAGGUUUUAGUUUCAAACGCUGCAUGGCACUGAGAAUGAAAUCUGCUUUCUUCCCACGGCCCCCACCAUGGCCUCUGCCUUCCUCCAGCCUCAACUUCUGACACCCGGUUCACUAACUUCAACUACACUGGCCUCCUUUCUGUCACUUGAUUACCCUCAAGUUCUUUCCAGCCUCGCUGAUGGCAUUCCCUUCACCCAGGGCACCCUUCUCAUGUCUCAGCUCAAAUGUCUCACACUAGGGAGGCCUUCCCUGACUGCGUGGCUUAAGGGGUCCUCGCUUGGUUGUUCAGGGUCCCAUCCCCCUGUGUACUUCCCUCAUGGCUCCGUUUACAAUCUGCAGUUCCAAUGAUUAAUUCCAUCACAGUUUAAAUUCUCUGUUAGUUGUCUGCUUCUGACCACUAGAAUGUCAACUCCCUGACAAAACGGCUGGGCUUGGAUCUGUCUUAAGUGGGAUUCCCAGUUUCUACAAUGGCGCCUGGCAGUGUUAGGUACCUGACUCGUGUGUGCCCAAAGAAAUGAAUGAAUGAAAAGUCUCAAAGGAUAAGCUGGAAUCAAAGAGGCAAAGACUUGGAUCAGUGGAAAAAAGGCCCUGUGGGAAUUGAAGGAGAUUUUCAAGUAUUUCAUAAAAACUAGAGAAGGUGACAUUUUACAUGGUAAAGUGAUUUUUGCAAAUUUUUUAAAAACCUAAAAAAAUUUUAAAUUAUUAAAAAAAUUUUUCUUAUUGUUUGUUUUUGAGAAUGAGAGAGAAAGUGUGAGCAGGGGAUGGGGAGAGAGAGGGAGACACAGAACCCGAAGCAGGCUCCAGGCUCUGAGCUGUCAGCACAGAGCCCGAUGUGGGGCUCGAACCCACAAACCAUGAGAUCACGACCCGAGCCAAAGUCGACGCUCAACCGAAUGAGCCACUCAGGCACCCCGGCGAAGUGUGUUUUGAACCCCAGACUGGAUGCCAUCGUUCUGGGCAUGUUCAGCGCUCACCAUAUUCGAUUUUAAUGAUCUGUUUUUGUAUCUGUUUCCUCCACCAGGGGCUAUGUAUUAUUCUUCCUUUUAUCCCUGGCGUCUAAAUGCUUGACAAAUACUUUUUGUACCAAACAGUACUGGCUACUCAUGUCUCCUAACUCUGUCAUGCUGAGCCUUCUAAUUAGGUCCUUAUUAAAAAUAAAAUCUUAUGAUGAA